rnacentral:rRNA from 1 species
AUAUACGACCGUACCGCAAACCGACACUGGUGCGCGAGAUGAGUAUUCUAAGGCGCUUGAGAGAACUCAGGAGAAGGAACUCGGCAAAUUGACACCGUAACUUCGGAAGAAGGUGUGCCCUAUUAGUGUGUAGUGAACAACGAAGCAUGAAUGGGUUGCAAAAAAUCGGUGGCUGCGACUGUUUAUUAAAAACACAGCACUCUGCAAACACGAAAGUGGACGUAUAGGGUGUGACGCCUGCCCGGUGCUGGAAGAUUAAAUGAUGGGGUGCAAGCUCUUGAUUGAAGUCCCAGUAAACGGCGGCCGUAACUAUAACGGUCCUAAGGUAGCGAAAUUCCUUGUCGGGUAAGUUCCGACCUGCACGAAUGGCGUAACGAUGGCCACACUGUCUCCUCCUGAGACUCAGCGAAGUUGAAAUGUUUGUGAUGAUGCAAUCUCCCCGCGGAAAGACGGAAAGACCCCAUGAACCUUUACUGUAGCUUUGUAUUGGACUUUGAACAGAUCUGUGUAGGAUAGGUGGGAGGCUUUGAAGCAGGGUCGCUAGAUCUUGUGGAGCCAACGUUGAAAUACCACCCUGGUGUGUUUGAGGUUCUAACCUAGGUCCAUUAUCUGGAUCGGGGACAGUGCAUGGUAGGCAGUUUGACUGGGGCGGUCUCCUCCCAAAGCGUAACGGAGGAGUUCGAAGGUACGCUAGUUACGGUCGGACAUCGUGACGAUAGUGCAAUGGCAUAAGCGUGCUUAACUGCGAGACUGACAAGUCGAGCAGAUGCGAAAGCAGGACAUAGUGAUCCGGUGGUUCUGUAUGGAAGGGCCAUCGCUCAACGGAUAAAAGGUACUCUGGGGAUAACAGGCUGAUACCGCCCAAGAGUUCAUAUCGACGGCGGUGUUUGGCACCUCGAUGUCGGCUCAUCUCAUCCUGGGGCUGUAGCCGGUCCCAAGGGUAUGGCUGUUCGCCAUUUAAAGAGGUACGUGAGCUGGGUUUAAAACGUCGUGAGACAGUUUGGUCCCUAUCUUCCGUGGGCGCUGCAGAUUUGAGGAAGCCUGCUCCUAGUACGAGAGGACCGGAGUGGACACACCUCUGGUGUAUCGGUUGUCACGCCAGUGGCAUUGCCGAGUAGCUAAGUGUGGAAGAGAUAACCGCUGAAAGCAUCUAAGCGGGAAACUCGUUUCAAGAUGAGAUCUGCCGGGGCCUUGAGCCCCCUAAAGAGUCGUUCAAGACCAGGACGUUGAUAGGUCAGGUGUGGAAAUGAAA